CAGGAGAACAUUUCUAAUCUACUUAUAUUCAGGAAAUAUUUAAAAUAAAUAUUCAUUAAUUUGAUGGAUUGGUCCUCUCUGGUUCUAUCAAUACUUAGACCAAGGAACUGGCAUCCCCUGGUCCAAUGACGUUUGGGCUAGGAAGCUUGUAGUCUGCAUAGCCCAACAUUAAUAUUACCUUCCACUGGUCCAGUGAUCACUGGGCUUAGAAGCUUGUGGUCUACCCAGACCAACAUUAUUAUUAUUACCUUCUAAGAGGUCAAAGUGCGGAGGAAGAGGACAGGGUCAAUCUGUUGUCUCAAACACAAGACUUUGUUCAAUUUAACCAUGUGCACAUGGGACAACGAAUGAGUGGAAUUAAAAGCAGAGCUAAUCUUAGGGGUAGGGAACACUGCGGAUUUUAUUUUUAAACCACUUAUCC